rnacentral:rRNA from 1 species
ACUGGCCGCCGGGGGGCUCACGCCCCCGGGCCCGCGCCCGCCGAAGACACCCUCGAACUCUGUCUGAAGAUUGAAGUCUGAGUGAAAAUAUAAAUUAUUUAAAACUUUCAACAACGGAUCUCUUGGUUCCGGCAUCGAUGAAGAACGCAGCGAAAUGCGAUACGUAAUGUGAAUUGCAAAUUCAGUGAAUCAUCGAGUCUUUGAACGCACAUUGCGCCCCCUGGUAUUCCGGGGGGCAUGCCUGUCCGAGCGUCAUUGCUGCCCUCAAGCCCGGCUUGUGUGUUGGGCCCCGUCCUCCGAUCUCCGGGGGACGGGCCCGAAAGGCAGCGGCGGCACCGCGUCCGGUCCUCGAGCGUAUGGGGCUUUGUCACCCGCUCUGUAGGCCCGGCCGGCGCUUGCCGAUCAACCCAAAUUUUUAUCCAGGUUGACCUCGGAUCA